GGUAAAGGCCUACCAUGGCGACGAUCUGUAGCUGGUCUGAGAGGAUGAUCAGCCACACCGGGACUGAGACACGGCCCGGACUCCUACGGGAGGCAGCAGUGGGGAAUAUUGGACAAUGGGGGCAACCCUGAUCCAGCCAUGCCGCGUGUGUGAAGAAGGCCUUUUGGUUGUAAAGCACUUUAAGCAGUGAAGAAGACCAUAUGGUUAAUACCCAUAUGCGAUGACAUUAGCUGCAGAAUAAGCACCGGCUAACUCUGUGCCAGCAGCCGCGGUAAUACAGAGGGUGCAAGCGUUAAUCGGAAUUACUGGGCGUAAAGCGAGCGUAGGUGGCUUGAUAAGUCAGAUGUGAAAUCCCCGGGCUUAACCUGGGAACUGCAUCUGAUACUGUUAAGCUAGAGUAGGUGAGAGGGAAGUAGAAUUCCAGGUGUAGCGGUGAAAUGCGUAGAGAUCUGGAGGAAUACCGAUGGCGAAGGCAGCUUCCUGGCAUCAUACUGACACUGAGGCUCGAAAGCGUGGGUAGCAAACAGGAUUAGAUACCCUGGUAGUCCACGCCGUAAACGAUGUCUACUAGUCGUUGGGGAACUUGAUUCCUUAGUGACGCAGCUAACGCAAUAAGUAGACCGCCUGGGGAGUACGGCCGCAAGGUUAAAACUCAAAUGAAUUGACGGGGGCCCGCACAAGCGGUGGAGCAUGUGGUUUAAUUCGAUGCACGUGAAGAACCUUACCUGGUCUUGACAUAUCUAGAAUCCUGCAGAGAUGCAGAU
rnacentral:rRNA from 1 species